GUGGGGAAUAUUGGGCAAUGGGCGAAAGCCUGACCCAGCAACGCCGCGUGAGGGAAGAAGGUUUUCGGAUCGUAAACCUCUGUCCUUAGUGAAGAGAAAGAGACGGUAGCUAAGGAGGAAGCCCCGGCUAACUACGUGCCAGCAGCCGCGGUAAUACGUAGGGGGCGAGCGUUGUCCGGAAUGAUUGGGCGUAAAGGGCGCGUAGGCGGCCUGUUAAGUCCGGAGUGAAAUUCCUGCUUUCAAGGUAGGAAGUGCUUUGGAAACUGGCGGGCUGGAGUGCAGGAGAGGUUAGCGGAAUUCCCGGUGUAGCGGUGAAAUGCGUAGAGAUCGGGAGGAACACCAGUGGCGAAAGCGGCUUUCUGGACGACAACUGACGCUGAGGCGCGAAAGCCAGGGGAGCAAACGGGAUUAGAAACCCGGGUAGUCC
rnacentral:rRNA from 1 species